ACUGCCCAGCAGGUCAGGUUUUCAACCUCAAAGGAAAGCAGAGCUGGUGAACGAACAGAUUUGUUAACGCAGCCGUGUGGGACUUUGUUCUAGGCUCACCUCCACCCAGUCCAGCAGCUCUCGGAUUUGGAUUUGCAGCACACGUGGGGCGGCGGACUCCAUCCCAGCGAGGUCUGUUUGAUGUGCGUUUCCUUCCUGCCGCGCUUGCCCUCACUCGCCUGGGUUUGCGGGGUCAGCUAGGCCCAGAGGGGGCCCAAGGAGCUCCACAGAUAAUGUCUCGGCCAGCACCGGGGCACCAGGGUCAUUGCAGAUAUAAUUAGUCAAGAGGAGGUCACACUGGAGUGGGGUGGACCCUCAUCCAGUAGGACUGGUGUCCAGACAGAGACACAGAAGGCGGACACCAUGUGAAGAUGAAGAAAGAGAUGAGUGUGACACAGCAACAGCCAGGGGAGGCCAAGGAUUGCCAGCAAAGCCACCAGAAGCCGGGAGAGGGGCCUGAAGCACCCUCCCCCUCCCAGCCCCAGGGGGAACCGGCCUGCUGACACCUUGAUCUUGGACAUCCGGCUCCAGAACUGACAACGUGAGAUGCUUCUUUCCUGUUCAUCCUCUGUCCCUGGACUUUUCCAGGAAAGUUGACUGUAAGGCUCCAAGAUCCAGGCACCAACAUAGCUGUUCAUAGGCUUUCGUCAGCCAACAGGAUCCAGCAAGUUAAGAGUAUCAGAGCUUUGUCAGCUAACACCUUUCUCUGCCUCGUGCUGUGCUGAGAAACUCCUGGAGUCUAAACGCGCCCAUGCUCCAAUACACAACACUCAGGCUUCUGACUGCAGUUCUUAACAAUCACUAUCUUUAAAGGCUGAGAAGUUUGCCAAGUGCCUUCAGCACUGCCUCGGACUUGGUGACAUCGCCAAGGCUUUUGGGCAAGAGUGAUAUCAAAGUGGUGUCUUUGUACGAACCAUCUGAUGGUGAUGGGGAUUAGACAUUAGAAGUCGAGAUGGGGCUGGGGGAGCAGCUGAGGGACUUCACUUCUUAGUUUAUUCAGUCAACAAACACCUCCCAUGUUCCAGGAAUUGGAAGAGGCUCUAAGGACACACCAUGGAACAAAAUAAUGGCACGGCCAGAUCCGGGUGGGAGGCGCCAGGGAGCACACGCAGCGACAAUUCAGAGAAGAGCUGAACAUGUGAACUAAGGUGGUGACAUGGGAGCUGGAGAAAGGAGAUGGGUAUUAGAGUCGAUCAGUCAUUCCAGCUAUUUCUUACUAUCGAUUGCAGAAGUCUAACACUUUCACUCAAACUGUAGAACAGGACAAAAUAUAAAGAGCCCCUCCUCUAGCCUCACAUCCCAUACCUUACGGGAGGCCACUUUUAACAGGUGGCUGAUUUUAGGAAGCGAUGCUGAGGGGGAGCAGGAUGUCACCCCCAUUUCUGGUGUGACCUGGGCAGACACUUCUGAGAUAACGAACCAGACGAUAACUAUUUUAGAGGAUGAGUGUACUUGGAGCUUGUUGAAUUUCUUAAAUAACAGCCGUAUUGAGAUGUAAUUCCCAUACUAUACAGCUCACCCACUUAACGCUGCACAAUUCCAUGGUUUUUUAGGGCAUUCAGAUACGUGCAACUGUCACCACAAGCAACUUUAGCACAUUUUCAUCACCCCAAAAAGAAACCCAGCACACAUUAGCCGUGACUCCCCAUUUCCCCUCAACCCUCUUCCCCAGAUCUAGCCAACCACUUUCCGUCUGUAUAGGUUUGCCUAUUCUGAACACUUCCUACAAACGAAAUCAUACAAUAUUUGGCCUUUUGUGACUGGCUUCUUUCACCUACCAUCCAAGGGUGAGCCACGUUGUAAUGUAUAUAGCACUUUUUUGUUGUUAAAUAAUAUUCCAAUGCAACAAUCAAUACAUCAGCACAUCUUGUUAAUCCAAUCCAUUCAUUUAUUGAUGGAUGUUUGGGUUGUUUCCACUUUUUGGUGAUUAUAAAUCCUAUGAACAUUCAUGCCCAAGUUUUUGAACACGUUUUCAAUUUCCUGAAGCACGUAUCUAUCAGUGGAAUUGUUGGGUCCUAUGUAAUUCUAUGUUUAACUUUUUAAGGAUCCGCCAUACUGUUUUCCAUAGUGGCUACACCACUUUAUAUUCCAACCAAGAGUGCACAGGGGUUCCAAUUUCUCCACCUCUUUGUCAACAAUUAUCAUCUGACUUUUUGAUUAUAGCCUUCCUAGUGUGUGUGAAGUGGUAUCUUGUGGUUUUGAUUUGCAUUUCCCUAAUAACAAAUGAUCAUUGAACAUCAAUUCAUGUGCUCAUUGGCCAUUUGUAUAUCUUCUUUGGAGAAGUGUAUAAUCAGAUCUUUUGCCCAUUUUUCAAUUAUGUUUUAUUGAGUUGUAAGAGUUCUUUAUA